rnacentral:rRNA from 1 species
CUGGGAGGACCAUCUCCUAAGGCUAAAUACUCUCUAGUGACCGAUAGUGAACCAGUACCGUGAGGGAAAGGUGAAAAGCACCCCGGAAGGGGAGUGAAAUAGAACCUGAAACCGUGUGCUUACAAGUAGUCAGAGCCCGUUAAUGGGUGAUGGCGUGCCUUUUGUAGAAUGAACCGGCGAGUUACGAUUUGAUGCAAGGUUAAGCAGUAAAUGUGGAGCCGUAGCGAAAGCGAGUCUGAAUAGGGCGUUUAGUAUUUGGUCGUAGACCCGAAACCAGGUGAUCUACCCUUGGUCAGGUUGAAGUUCAGGUAACACUGAAUGGAGGACCGAACCGACUUACGUUGAAAAGUGAGCGGAUGAACUGAGGGUAGCGGAGAAAUUCCAAUCGAACCUGGAGAUAGCUGGUUCUCUCCGAAAUAGCUUUAGGGCUAGCCUCAAGUGAUGAUUAUUGGAGGUAGAGCACUGUUUGGACGAGGGGCCCCUCUCGGGUUACCGAAUUCAGACAAACUCCGAAUGCCAAUUAAUUUAACUUGGGAGUCAGAACAUGGGUGAUAAGGUCCGUGUUCGAAAGGGAAACAGCCCAGACCACCAGCUAAGGUCCCAAAAUAUAUGUUAAGUGGAAAAGGAUGUGGCGUUGCCCAGACAACUAGGAUGUUGGCUUAGAAGCAGCCAUCAUUUAAAGAGUGCGUAAUAGCUCACUAGUCGAGUGACACUGCGCCGAAAAUGUACCGGGGCUAAACAUAUUACCGAAGCUGUGGAUUGUCCUUUGGACAAUGGUAGGAGAGCGUUCUAAGGGCGUUGAAGCAUGAUCGUAAGGACAUGUGGAGCGCUUAGAAGUGAGAAUGCCGGUGUGAGUAGCGAAAGACGGGUGAGAAUCCCGUCCACCGAUUGACUAAGGUUUCCAGAGGAAGGCUCGUCCGCUCUGGGUUAGUCGGGUCCUAAGCUGAGGCCGACAGGCGUAGGCGAUGGAUAACAGGUUGAUAUUCCUGUACCACCUAUAAUCGUUUUAAUCGAUGGGGGGACGCAGUAGGAUAGGCGAAGCGUGCGAUUGGAUUGCACGUCUAAGCAGUAAGGCUGAGUAUUAGGCAAAUCCGGUACUCGUUAAGGCUGAGC